AGAUGCCGGCGUCCCGUCCCGUAGGUGGGUUGGCGCACAGGUUUGGGAAAUGCAAGCCCAGCUCUGCGCCUUACCUGGCGCCUCCAGCCCUCCAGCAGCUUCGGCCCCGCUCUGAAAAGAUUGGCCAGCAGUUGCAUCCCUCGCACACACGGAGCCCUGAGCCCUGGGGUAACGCGGUUCCAAUUACUGCCAGAUCGGCAAGGCAUUUUGCAGAGGAAGAAACUGCAGUUUAAAGAGUGGCUGGCCUGUAGUCAUCAAGCCUGCAGACAGGAGAGGCAACACCCAGACUCAGAGAACAGGGUGUCUCUUUAUUAUACUACAGUGCAUCCUGCAGUUUUCAGAAAUGCUUUCGUUGUAUGAACUACAUGGUUCAGUUCCCAAAGGAAACCCAGGCCAAGCCUCACACCUCCAGGCAGCUGAUGAAGAGCAGACCUGUACUUGAGAAGCAGUUUUAACAGCACAGAGCGGAUGACAGGAGUCUGGUCAACAACAUCAUCAAAUGGAGACAGAGACUUUGUGUGUUCACGAUGUUCUGCAGCCAGAGAGAAGGGGACUAUAGUUCGUAUCAUGGUACAAAGCUGAGCCCAAACUCUGGUUUUGACCUUUACGGGAAGAAGGGAACUCACUCUGGGAAGCAUCUCUCAGCAGCUCCUUUUGUACGAAGAGCAAGGACAGCAGUGUAUCUAUGACACUCUUCUCAGGGGGCGUGUUAUCCUUGAAGCACAUGGUAGAAACAAGGUCCACAAAAAAGCUGUUGCACAUGUGCCGGAACUGGGCGUGCUUCUCAAUGGCUUUCCUUAGGAGGGAGGGAGAACUCGUGACAGAAGAAUUGUAGAAUGUGUUGCCCAAUACUUCCAGGCAGAGGGAAGGGAUAUUCGGAUAGUAUUUUGGUUUAAAUAUCAAGGUUUAUUUGACCUUGAACUCCACAAUUCUGUAUCAGCCUCCUAAUUGUUAGGUUUAAAACUAGGCUCUGUUUUUUUUUUGUUGUUGUUUUGUUUUGCAUUUUGAUUUUGAAUCAACAAAUGAGAUGGUCUUAACAAUGAUCAGAACUGGUCUUCAGACUACAACAGUGUUUCUGGGACACUACCAUUGUCUGGACCUAGAGCAUGGGCAAUAAAAUGGGAUGGAGUCAGGGCUGCUGAGGCCCUGCUCCUCUGUCUCCUGAAGACUGGGCCAGAUCUGCCUACAUCCUCAGGCAGAGACCAAGGCUGUGUUCAUAAAGAAGAGGAUCUGGGAGAUGGGCCCAUCAGUACUGCCCUUGCACCUGUAUCUCAGCAUGAGGGUGUGUAGGGACGAUGAGGCAGAUUCCUAGGCCUCACUGGCGGCUAAGCCAGGCAGAGACGAGCUGCAGGGUUACUGAGGUCCCUGUCCCAAAAUAGAGUGAUGAAGGAAGAUACCUGAUGUUGACGGUGGACACGUGAAUACACCCACAUGAACACAUACAUAUACAUACAAAGAAGGCAAUGAUGGGCAGGGGUUGGAUGAGUGGCAGGGUACAAGCUGAAUCUCAGUUCCACCUCCAGCACCACUCCAGCCCUCCCCACUAAAAGGCGCCAAGCUACACCGACAUGUUCGGUUUUCUUCCAAGGACUUUGUGACUUUCUAGCUUAUCUCCUAAGUUUGCUGUCUCCAUGUUGGUGCUUGUCUUAUUUGGGAAAGGGCAGAGGUCCAGGAAGCCUUGCUUCUGGCAUUACUUAUGGAAGUUCUCUGAAACCAGCUCUUACGCCCAAAGAACGCUGACCCAAGAGUUGACAUCUCCAAAGACAACAUUGGAAAAAAAAGCAAGGCAGCUUCCUCAAGAGAGAGGGUGACUUACCUGUGGUCCUGGGAAACAGUUGGUGAGAACUUGUCUGGCAAGUCAGUUAAGCAGUAGGGGCACAUCAUUUGCCCAGGGAUGAGCCAGGUCUGAAUGCAACGUAGACAAUACACAUGAUCACAGGGCAGACAGACGGGGUCCUGCGCAUCUCCAUGGCAGAUGAAACAUGGCUGAAUACCAAACCUAAAACCCAAGAAAGUGAUCGAUUUCAGAGCAGAAAUGCUGGCUACAAGAAACAGUUCCUUCCACCGCAAAUCCAAGUAAUCUCAAAGUCUUAAAUUACACAUCUCACCUGCUGAACUUCUUGCUGGCCUUGUCCUUGCAGUCACAGAGUGUGGUCAUUACAGCCACAAAUGGCCUGCAGGUCUUGAGGUUAGAGUCCUCUUCAAGACACUGAGGGAGGAGGGCAGUGGUGAGUAGUAGGUAAGGGUCUAUAGGGAAAGUGACCCAGCACCCAUUGUCUCAGUGGCUGCUGACGAACAGUCAUGGCCACAAAAGAGCAGCACAAGGCUCUUGGGAUGCUUGCCAUAGGAAGUUCCCACAUUUUCAGGAGACAGAGCAGUUAAGACCACUGGCUGCUGUUCCAGAGGAUCCUGGUUUGAUACCCAUUACCCACAUGGCAGCUCACAGGGGAUCUGAUACUCUGGCCUCCCUGGAUGCCAGACACACAUGCAGGCAAAACACUAAAGCAAGUUCCAGGACAGCCUGACUUAAAUAGUGAGCUCCAGGAUAGCCAGAGCUACAUAGUGAGACCUUACCUCAACAACAACAACAACAACAAACUAACAACAAUAAAAACCAAGAAGAAAGUUCCUACAUUUACAUGUCCUUUAAAAACAAACUUUUAGCCGGGCAGUGGUGGGGCACGCCUUUAAUCCCAGUACUUGGGAGGCAGAGGUAGGCGGAUUUCUGAGUUUGAGGCCAGCCUGGUCUACAAAGUGAGUGCCAGGACAGCCAGGGCUACACAGAGAAACCCUGUCUCGAAAAAACCAAAAACCAAAACAAACAAACUUUUAAGUAGCUGCAGUGAAUAAAUAAAUUAAUGCAAUAAAAUAAUUGAAAAAAUAAAACAUUUUAAAUUAAA